UAUUGGGCGUAAAGAGCUCGUAGGCGGUUUGUCGCGUCUGCUGUGAAAACCCGAGGCUCAACCUCGGGCCUGCAGUGGGUACGGGCAGACUAGAGUGCGGUAGGGGAGAUUGGAAUUCCUGGUGUAGCGGUGGAAUGCGCAGAUAUCAGGAGGAACACCGAUGGCGAAGGCAGAUCUCUGGGCCGUAACUGACGCUGAGGAGCGAAAGCAUGGGGAGCGAACAGGAUUAGAUACCCUGGUAAUCCACGCUGUAAACGAUGUCAACUGGGUGUCGGUAGCUUUACGCUAUCGGUGCCGAAGCAAACGCGUUAAGUUGACCGCCUGGGGACUACGGCCGCAAGGCUAAAACUCAAAGGAAUUGACGGGGGCCCGCACAAGCGGUAAUCGA
rnacentral:rRNA from 1 species